AACGCACCUUGCGCCCUUUGGUAUUCCGAAGGGCAUGCCUGUUUGAGUGUCAUGAAAUCUCAAUCUCUCAAGUUCUUUUGAACUGGUUGGAUUGGACUUGGGUGAUUUGCCAGCAAUGGCUCGCCUCAAAUGACUUAGUGGAACAUCCCACAUCAGUGUCAGACGUAAUAAGUUUCGUCUUUCCUUGUGGUGAUGACUGCUUAGAACCUGCCAUCGCGCACUCUUUUGACUUUGACCUCAAAUCAGGUAGGGCUACCCGCUGAACUUAA
rnacentral:misc_RNA from 1 species